rnacentral:rRNA from 1 species
AUUGAACGCUGGCGGCAGGCUUAACACAUGCAAGUCGAGCGGAGAUGAGGUGCUUGCACCUUAUCUUAGCGGCGGACGGGUGAGUAAUGCUUAGGAAUCUGCCUAUUAGUGGGGGACAACAUUCCGAAAGGAAUACCAAUACCGCAUACGCCCUACGGGGGAAAGCAGGGGAUCUUCGGACCUUGCGCUAAUAGAUGAGCCUAAGUCGGAUUAGCUAGUUGGUGGGGUAAAGGCCUACCAAGGCGACGAUCUGUAGCGGGUAUGAGAGGAUGAUCCGCCACACUGGGAAUGGGACACGGCCCAGACGCCUACGGGAGGCAGCAGUGGGGAAUAUUGGACAAUGGGCGGAAGCCUGAUCCAGCCAUGCCGCGUGUGUGAAGAAGGCCUUUUGGUUGUAAAGCACUUUAAGCGAGGAGGAGGCUACCUGGAUUAAUACUCUAGGAUAGUGGACGUUACUCGCAGAAUAAGCACCGGCUAACUCUGUGCCAGCAGCCGCGGUAAAAC